rnacentral:lncRNA from 1 species
UGGGGGGUUUUGGGGGGAAAUCGCAGAAUCCUGGGGGGUUUGGGGGAGAAAUCCCAUGGAUGAACCCCAAAACCCUGCAGGAUUUGGGGGGGGAAUAAUGGGGAGAAAUCCCACAGAUGAACCCCAAAACCAAACCCCAGAACCCUGCAGGAUUUGGGGGUGAAUAAUGGGGAAAAUCCCACGGAUGAACCCCAAAACCGAACCCCAGAACCCUGCAGGAUUUGGGGGUGAAUAACGGGGACACAACCCCCCCUGGAUCGCCCCCAAUCCCCCCCCCCCCCCUCACCGAAGAGGGGCGGCCAGGGCAUCCCCAGCCACGGGGGGGGCAGGGGGAAUCCCGGCGCGGUGCUGCCGUCCGAGCCCGAAGCGGAGCCGUCCCCGGUUCUGGCGGAAGCUGCGGGGGGGGGGAAAAAGGGGACGUGAGAAGGGGACGGGGAAGCCCAGCCCCAUAGAUGUGGGGCAGGAUGUGGGGCAGGAGGGGGGGAGGGACGCGCGCUCACCUGACGGGGGGGCGGCGGCAGCGGAGCCCUCGGGGCUGGGGGGUCCCUGAGCGCCGGGGACCGGGGGGAACGGAGCCAUGGGCGGCCACAGCGGGAACAGCCCCGGGGGGAACGGGGGGAGCACCCCCUGCGGGACUGCAACCGCAACACACGGAUCUCAGCCCCACGGAUCCCAGCCCCACGGAUCCCAGCCCCACAGGGACCCCAUGGAUCUGAGCCCCACAGGGACCCCACGGAUCUGAGCCC